rnacentral:tRNA from 6 species
CAGAAAGUUAGUCUAACUAAGACG